GUUGACCUCGGAUCAGGUAGGGAUACCCGCUGAACUUAAGCAUAUCAAUAAGCGGAGGAAAAGAAACCAACAGGGAUUGCCCUAGUAACGGCGAGUGAAGCGGCAACAGCUCAAAUUUGAAAUCUGGCGCAAGCCCGAGUUGUAAUUUGCAGAGGAUGCUUCUAGGCAGCGGCCGGUCUAAGUUCCUUGGAACAGGACGUCAUAGAGGGUGAGAAUCCCGUAUGUGACCGGUUGGCACCUUCCACGUAGCUCCUUCGACGAGUCGAGUUGUUUGGGAAUGCAGCUCUAAAUGGGAGGUAAAUUUCUUCUAAAGCUAAAUACCGGCCAGAGACCGAUAGCGCACAAGUAGAGUGAUCGAAAGAUGAAAAGCACUUUGGAAAGAGAGUUAAAAAGCACGUGAAAUUGUUGAAAGGGAAGCGCUUGCGACCAGACUUGUCGGCGGUGUUCCGCCGGUCUUCUGACCGGUCUACUCGCCGUCGGCAGGCCAGCAUCAUCUGGGGCCGCCGGAUAAAGGUUUAGGGAAUGUAGCUCCCCUCGGGGAGUGUUAUAGCCCUUUGCACAAUACGGCGCGUCCCGGGUGAGGUCCGCGUCUCGGCAAGGAUGCUGGCGUAAUGGUCGUAAGCGGCCCGUCUUGAAACACGGACCAAGGAGUCGAUUAUCUAUGCGAGUGUUCGGGCGUCAAACCCCUACGCGUAAUGAAAGUGAACGGAGGUGGGAACCUUAGGGUGCACCAUCGACCGAUCCGGAUGUCUUCGGAUGGAUUUGAGUAAGAGCAUAGCUAAUCGGACCCGAAAGAUGGUGAACUAUGCCUGAAUAGGGUGAAGCCAGAGGAAACUCUGGUGGAGGCUCGCAGCGGUUCUGACGUGCAAAUCGAUCGUCAAAUUUGGGUAUAGGGGCGAAAGACUAAUCGAACCA
rnacentral:rRNA from 1 species